rnacentral:lncRNA from 7 species
AAAAUCAAUUGUUUUGUAGGAACAAUUCAACAUUCUAUCUCUAAAUCACCACAAAAUAAUUCUAAUAAUACCUAAAAGUGGUCAAGAAAAUUUAAACAUUAGCAUAGAGGCAUCGAUGUACAUGCUUGUCAUAACAAUUCGAAUGACGUUAAUAAAGAGGGACUAUGCAUCAUGUGUAAAAUGAUGAAUACGCCUCAAACAUAGUUUCAUGUAGGGUUAGAUAUCGAGCCAGCUCGACUUGUUGAGGUAACGAGCCACAGAGCCUGCUCGGAUCAACUCGUUUAUGAGCUCAAGUUUUUGGAUUGUU